rnacentral:rRNA from 1 species
UAACACGUGGAUAACCUACCCUUAGGACCGGAAUAACCCCGGGAAACUGGGGAUAAUACCGGAUAAGCCAUAGACGCUGGAAUGCCCUAUGGUUCAAAGCUCCGGCGCCUAAGGAUGGAUCUGCGGUCUAUCAGGUUGUAGUGGGUGUAACGUACCUACUAGCCGACGCCGGAUACGGGUUGUGAGAGCAAGAGCCCGGAGAUGGAUUCUGAGACACGAAUCCAGGCCCUACGGGGUGCAGCAGGCGCGAACACUUUACAAUGCGGGAAACCGCGAUAAGGGAACCCCGAGUGCCAGCAUCAAAUGUUGGCUGUCCAGAUGGUUAAAAAUCAUUUGUUAGCAAGGGCCGGGCAAGACCGGUGCCAGCCGCUGCGGUAACACCGGCGGCCCGAGUGGUAGCCGUUUUUAUUGGGUCUAAAGGGUCCGUAGCCGGCUUGAUAAGUCCUUUGGGAAAUCUGACAGCUUAACUGUCAGGCUUCUAAGGGAUACUGUCAGGCUUGGGACCGGAAGAGGUAAGGGGUACUCCAGGGGUAGGAGUGAAAUCUUGUAAUCCCUGGGGGACCAUCUGUGGCGAAGGCGUCUUACCAGAACGGGUCUGACGGUGAGGGACGAAAGCUGGGGGCGCAAACCGG